rnacentral:rRNA from 1 species
AGUGAACGCUGGCGGUAGGCCUAACACAUGCAAGUCGAACGGCAGCACAGUAAGAGCUUGCUCUUACGGGUGGCGAGUGGCGGACGGGUGAGGAAUACAUCGGAAUCUACUUUUUCGUGGGGGAUAACGUAGGGAAACUUACGCUAAUACCGCAUACGACCUACGGGUGAAAGCAGGGGAUCUUCGGACCUUGCGCGAUUGAAUGAGCCGAUGUCGGAUUAGCUAGUUGGCGGGGUAAAGGCCCACCAAGGCGACGAUCCGUAGCUGGUCUGAGAGGGUGAUCAGCCACAGUGGAACUGAGACACGGUCCAGACACCUACGGGGGGCAGCAGUGGGGAAUAUUGGACAAUGGGCGCGAGCCUGAUACAGCCAUACCGCGUGGGUGAAGAAGGCCUUCGGGUUGUAAAGCCCUUUUGUUGGGAAAGAAAAGCAGCAGGUUAAUACCCCGCUGUUCUGACGGUACCCAAAGAAUAAGCACCGGCUAACUUCGUG